rnacentral:rRNA from 12 species
CCUAAGGCGAGGCAGAGAUGCGUAGUCGAUGGGAAAUAGGUUAAUAUUCCUAUACUUUAAUAUAAUGCGAUGUGGGGACGGAGAAGGUUAGAUCAGCCGGGUGUUGGAUGUCCCGGUUCAAGCGAGUAGGUUGGUUCUUUAGGCAAAUCCGGAGAGCUAAGACCGAGACGUGAUAACGAGUGUACUUUGUACAUGAAGUGAUUGAUACCAUGCUUCCAAGAAAAGCCACUAAGCUUCAGUUAUAUUAAAACCGUACCGCAAACCGACACAGGUGGGCAGGAUGAGAAUUCUAAGGCGCUUGAGAGAACUCUAGAGAAGGAACUCGGCAAAAUAACACCGUAACUUCGGGAGAAGGUGUGCCCCG